rnacentral:rRNA from 1 species
GUAAUUGACGGUACUUCACAAGCAAGCUCCGGCUAACUUCGUGCCAGCAGCACGCGGUAAUACGACGGGAGCAAGCGUUGUCCGAAAUAACUGGGCGUAAAGGGUACGUAGGCUUUGAUGUAUGUUUUCGGUGAAAUCCACAGGCUCAACUCGUGGCUUGCCGGAAAAACUGCAGAGAUUGAAUCCGGAAGGGGAAAGCGGAAUUCCUGGUGUAACGGUGAAAUGCGUAGAUAUCAGGAGGAACACCAGUGGCGAAGGCGGCUAUCUGGUCCGGAAUUGACGCUGAUGUACUAAAGCGUGGGUAGCAAACAGGAUUAGAUACCCUGGUAGUCCACGCCCUAAACGAUGUAUACUUGAUGUCGGGAUGUUCGGUCGUCUCGGUGUCGUAGCUAACGUGUUAAGUAUACCGCAUGGGGACUACGGUCGCAAGACUGAAACUCUAAGGAAUUGACGGGGGCCCGCACCAGCGGUGGAACAUGUGGUUUAAUUCGAUGCAACGCGAAGAACGUUACCUGGGCUUGACAUAUGUAUGAAGUAUGUAAGAGAUUAUGUAUUCUGUCUGUUGUUUCAGACAGCAUAUAUACAGGUGAUGCAUGGCUGUCGUCAGCUCGUGUCGUGAGAUGUAGGGUUAAGUCCCUUAACGAGCGCAACCCUUACUUUUAGUUGCCAUCAGGUAAAGCUGGGGACUCUAGAAGGACUGCCGAGGUUAACUCGGAGGAAGGUGGGGAUGACGUCAAGUCAGUAUGUCCCUCAUGUCCAGGGCUACACACGUGUUACAAUGGCCGGUACAGAGGGCCGCGAAGCCGCGAGGUGAAGCAAAUCAUUCAAAGCCGGUCCCAGUUCGGAUUGGAGUCUGCAAUUCGACUCCAUGAAGUUGGAAUCGCUAGUAAUCGCAGAACAGCACGCUGCGGUGAUACGUUCCCGGGCCUCGUACACACCGCCCGUCACGCCAUGGAAGUUGGGAGCAC